GACGAACGCUGGCGGUAUGCUUAACGCAUGCAAGUCGAACGAACAAAAUUGGGGCUUGCUCCAAUUUUAGUGAGUGGCAAACGGGUGAGUAACACGUGGGAAUCUACCUAUCAGUACGGAAUAACAUUUGGAAACAGAUGCUAAUACCGUAUAUUCUCCAAGGAGGAAAGGUUUAUCGCUGAUAGAUGAGCCCGCGCAAGAUAGGGUAGUUGGUAGGGUAAUGGCCUACCAAGCCGACGAUCUUUAGCUGGUCUGAGAGGAUGAUCAGCCACACGGGGACUGGAGCACGGCCCAGACUCCUACAGGAGGCAGAAGUGGGGAAUAUUGGACAAUGGGCGAAAGCCUGUUCCAGCAAUACCGCGUGAAUGAUGAAGGCCUUAGGGUUGUAAAGUUCCUUUAGUUGGAAAGAUAAUGACGGUACCAACAGAAAAAGCCCGGGCUAACUCCGUGCCAGCAGCCGCCGUAA
rnacentral:rRNA from 1 species